GCACUGCCUUGGAACCUCUGCGGGGCCUGUCCUGUGGCCUCAGGGGUCAGGAGGCAGUGCCAGAGCAAAUCCAGCUUGUUCAGAUCCGGGGCUGCUUAGAUGCCACCUUAGAUGAUUCCUUUGGCAGCAAGUGACAUUC
rnacentral:snoRNA from 1 species